rnacentral:rRNA from 1 species
AAAAGGGGUCUCCGUUGGUGACAGCGGAGGGACAUUACCGAGUUUACAACUCCCAAACCCAAUGUGAACGUUACCAAACUGUUGCCUCGGCGGGAUCUCUGCCCCGGGUGCGUCGCAGCCCCGGACCAAGGCGCCCGCCGGAGGACCAACCAAAACUCUUAUUGUAUACCCCCUCGCGGGUUUUUUUUAUAAUCUGAGCCUUCUCGGCGCCUCUCGUAGGCGUUUCGAAAAUGAAUCAAAACUUUCAACAACGGAUCUCUUGGUUCUGGCAUCGAUGAAGAACGCAGCGAAAUGCGAUAAGUAAUGUGAAUUGCAGAAUUCAGUGAAUCAUCGAAUCUUUGAACGCACAUUGCGCCCGCCAGUAUUCUGGCGGGCAUGCCUGUCCGAGCGUCAUUUCAACCCUCGAACCCCUCCGGGGGGUCGGCGUUGGGGAUCGGCCCUGCCUUGGCGGUGGCCGUCUCCGAAAUACAGUGGCGGUCUCGCCGCAGCCUCUCCUGCGCAGUAGUUUGCACACUCGCAUCGGGAGCGCGGCGCGUCCACAGCCGUUAAACACCCAACUUCUGAAAUGUUGACCUCGGAUCAGGUAGGAAUACCCGCUGAACUUAAGCAUAUCAAUAAGCGGAGGA